GACGAACGCUGGCGGCGUGCUUAACACAUGCAAGUCGAACGGAAAGGCCCUGCUUGCAGGGUGCUCGAGUGGCGAACGGGUGAGUAACACGUGGGUGAUCUGCCCCUUACUUUGGGAUAAGCUUGGGAAACUGGGUCUAAUACUGGAUAGGACCAUGCUGUAGGUGGUGUGGUGGAAAGAUUAGUUUCGGUAAGGGAUGAGCUCGCGGCCUAUCAGCUUGUUGGUGGGGUAAUGGCCUACCAAGGCGUCGACGGGUAGCCGGCCUGAGGGGGUGGACGGCACCAUGGGGACGGCGACGGGACGCAGCCUCCGGGGAGGGGCGGCAGGGGGGGAAAUCGCAAAGGGGGCACACGCCUGAAGCGGAGACGCGGGGGGGGGAAUGACGCCCUGGGGGUUGAGAACUCCUUCCGGCCAGGAAAAGCCCCUUGUGGUGACGGUAGUGAAAAAGAAAGCCCCGGCUAACUCCGUG
rnacentral:rRNA from 1 species